AUUCUCUCAGCUCUGCUCAGUUGCGCUUGUCCCUGUAGUGUAAUUGGCUUUAACUAGAGAGAGAGAGAGUGACUUGUUCUUUAUGCACGGCAGGCUGGCCUCCUAACAUGGUCUUCCUGUUCCUUAAUGAGGAUCUACAUGC
rnacentral:snoRNA from 1 species